AUUAGUUAACAUUUCCCUUUUUCUUCACUCUUUAAUCCGUGAAGGUUUUUGUGAUAGUUUGGAUCCAGGUGGUAUGAAAAGAAUUGUCCCAAGGUGUUUCUCUUCCAGGAAAAGAAUCAAGACAUCUGUGGAUGACGUGCUAAGGUAGUCAUUGGCAACUUCUCUUCCAUUUCCUGGUUGGCUCAUUGUUUACCUAAUUGCCAGUAAUAAUAUUUCAUUGUGUAAAGAAUGUUGGCACCAGGGGCCCAGGUUCCAGUUUAUUGAUGGCUCAGAGUUUAUGAAUUGAUGCCCUCAGCAGGUUGCUGCCCUGAUGAAUGGCAAUUACUGUGGCUCCCACAGAGGCGAUUGUAGCCAGAGCAUUUACUCCUUUCAAAUAAUUGCCCCUGAGAAGCUGAACAGGUAAUCCGCAUGCAGAUUUUUUUCUGCUCCAAGGCCUACAGUGCUACUUCAACUGGUUUGCUGGGAAUUACUAAAUUUAUCCCAGACAGCUAUCUAUGGAAAAAACUAAACAUCAGUUGA
rnacentral:lncRNA from 1 species